rnacentral:piRNA from 1 species
UGUAUGGUACCUGUGAAGUCGUAGUUCAUU